rnacentral:rRNA from 1 species
GAUGAACGCUGGCGGCGUGCCUAAUACAUGCAAGUCGAGCGAACGGACGAGAAGCUUGCUUCUCUUAUGUUAGCGGCUGACGUGUGAGUAACACGUGGAUAACCUACCUAUUAUACUGGGAUAACUUCGUGAAACCGUAUCUAAUACCGGAUAAUAUUUUGAACCGCAUGGUUCAAAAGUGAAAGACGGUCUUGCUGUCUCUUAUAGAUGGAUCCGCUCUGCAUUAGCUAGUUGGUAAGGUAACGGCUUACCAAGGCAACGAUGCAUAGCCGACCUGAGAGGGUGAUCGGCCACACUGGAACUGAGACACGGUCCAGACUCCUACGGGAGGCAGCAGUAGGGAAUCUUCCGCAAUGGGCGAAAGCAUGACGGAGCAACGCCGAGUGAGUGAUGAAGGUCUUCGGAUCGUAAAACUCUGUUAUUAGGGAAGAACAUAUGUGUAAGUAACUGUGCACAUCUUGACGGUACCUAAUCAGAAAGCAACGGCUAACUACGUG